CUUUACUAUAGCUUGGAAUUGUGUUCGGGCUUCGAGUGCGCAGGAUAGGUGGGAGGCAUUGAAGUAUCCCUUGUGGGGGAUAUGGAGCCAACGGUGAGAUACCACUCUCUCGAAGCUAGAAUUCUAACUAAAUGCCGUUAUCCGGCUUUGGAACCGUAUCAGGUGGGCAGUUUGACUGGGGCGGUCGCCUCCUAAAAGGUAACGGAGGCGCGCAAAGGUUCUCUCAGGCUGGUUGGAAAUCAGCCGUAGAGUGUAAAGGCAGAAGGUAGCUUGACUGUGAGACGAACAGGUCAAACAGGGUGGAAACACGGUCUUAGUGAUCCGACGGUGCUGUGUGGAAGGGCCGUCGCUCAACGGAUAAAAGUUA
rnacentral:rRNA from 1 species